rnacentral:rRNA from 1 species
UGUGUAGGCGGUUGCUUAAGUUUGGUGUGAAAUCUCCCGGCUCAACCGGGAGGGUGCGCCGAAUACUGAGUGACUAGAGUGCGGGAGAGGAAAGUGGAAUUCCUGGUGUAGCGGUGAAAUGCGUAGAUAUCAGGAGGAACACCGGUGGUGUAGACGGCUUUCUGGACCGUAACUGACGCUGAGACACGAAAGCGUGGGUAGCAAACAGGAUUAGAUACCCUGGUAGUCCACGCCCUAAACGAUGCAUAUUUGGUGUGGGCAGUUCAUUCUGUCUGUGCCGGAGCUAACGCGUUAAAUAUGCCGCCUGGGGAUACAGUCGCAAGGCUGAA